UACAUAACUCAACAUCUAAUAAAAAAGAUAUGCCUUAUAGAACAAGAUCUAGGACAUUGUACAAUAAUGUCAAAAGUGAUAUUAAAGUAAACGCUCCAUUCCAGAAAAAAACAAAGAAACUGUUAAACGCUAAUAAAGAGAAUUGCUGUGAAGAGAACGAAAAUGCACAGAAACAACAUACUACUUCAAGGAAAUUGCGAGAAUUACAUGUGGUUUUACACAAGAUAGAUGAACCAUUAAACAAACGUUACAAAAGUAACAGAAUUUAAAUUUCGUCAGAUGAUUCAUUCAUAUAUGAGGCGCCAGGAGAUGAUUAUAGAUAUUUGUAUGAGGAUAACAAUACUCAUAAAGAAGACCUUCCAUUCCAUGCUAUUUUAACAGAGAUUACCAGAAUUCUAACGUGUCAGGAGCAAAACCUUCCGAAGAAAACUGCACGGUGUAUUUUACUAAUAAACGAACACAUGUUUUCAUACCAUGUGGUCAUCUUGCAUUGAAUGCAUUAAAAAAUUAGAAAUAAAUUGAUGUCCGAUUUGCAAUACUAUCUAUGAAAAUUCUCUUCAAGUUAGAAGACCAUAAGAAUUGUCUUUGAGUCGAGCAAUAUUUUUUUGUUUACAAACACUGCUGUCUACUAAUUUUAGAAUAGAAAAC